rnacentral:rRNA from 1 species
UAGGGAAUCUUCGGCAAUGGACGGAAGUCUGACCGAGCAACGCCGCGUGAGUGAAGAAGGUUUUCGGAUCGUAAAGCUCUGUUGUAAGAGAAGAACGAGUGUGAGAGUGGAAAGUUCACACUGUGACGGUAUCUUACCAGAAAGGGACGGCUAACUACGUGCCAGCAGCCGCGGUAAUACGUAGGUCCCGAGCGUUGUCCGGAUUUAUUGGGCGUAAAGCGAGCGCAGGCGGUUAGAUAAGUCUGAAGUUAAAGGCUGUGGCUUAACCAUAGUACGCUUUGGAAACUGUUUAACUUGAGUGCAAGAGGGGAGAGUGGAAUUCCAUGUGUAGCGGUGAAAUGCGUAGAUAUAUGGAGGAACACCGGUGGCGAAAGCGGCUCUCUGGCUUGUAACUGACGCUGAGGCUCGAAAGCGUGGGGAGCGAACAGGAUUAGAUACCCUGGUAGUCCACGCCGUAAACGAUGAGUGCUAGGUGUUAGGCCCUUUCCGGGGCUUAGUGCCGCAGCUAACGCAUUAAGCACUCCGCCUGGGGAGUACGACCGCAAGGUUG